UACGUAGGCAGCGAGCGUUGUUCGGAAUUACUGGGCGUAAAGAGUGUGUAGGCGGUGUUCCCAGUCUGUUGUGAAAUCUCCCGGCUUAACUGGGAGGGUGCAGUGGAAACUAGAAUGCUAGAGGGUGGGAGAGGUAAGCGGAAUUCCUGGUGUAGCGGUGAAAUGCGUAGAUAUCAGGAGGAACACCUGUGGUGUAGACAGCUUACUGGACCACUUCUGACGCUGAGACACGAAAGCGUGGGUAGCAAACAGG
rnacentral:rRNA from 1 species